rnacentral:rRNA from 1 species
UACGGAGGGUGCUAGCGUUGUUCGGAAUCACUGGGCGUAAAGCGCGUGUAGGCGGCCUGUUAAGUCUGAUGUGAAAGCCCGGGGCUCACCCCCGGAAGUGCAUUGGAAACUGCCAGGCUCGAGUCCCGGAGAGGAGGGUGGAAUUCCUGGUGUAGCGGUGAAAUGCGCAGAUAUCAGGAAGAACACCCGUGGCUAAGGCGGUUCUCUAGUACGGUACUGACGCUGAGACGCGAAAGCGUGGGGAGCGAACAGG